CGAUCAAUGCAGUUAAAUUUUUUAGCGAAAGUUCACUCAUUUUCCAUUCUUCUUUCCAGUCUUUCUAUUUUAUCAAGUGGAAGGAAUUUUAGAAAGACUGAAAGAGAGUAAUAGGGGCAGACACAAGUUGUAAAAUGCCACCUCAGUCCCCACCCCCUAAACCCCAAAACUUCACCUUCUUCCACGGCCACCGCAAGCCCUCACAAAACCGCCUUACAGUCCGCGGCGGCCUCUUCUCCAACCGCGUCUCCCUCCCAAACCGCAAAUACCCCACCGCCGCCCCCCAAUCUCACCCCUUCGAACUCUCCAAAUGGGACCCACACCUCCCCCAAUCCUCGCCGUCCACUUCAUCAUCCAACCCUGCCGACACGACACUCCUCUCAUUUCUCUCCCCUAUCGCGCGCUUCAUUCUCGACGCGUUCCGCAAGAACCAGAACCACUGGGGCCCACCAGUCGUCUCGGAGCUCCGAAAGCUCCGCCGGGUUACGCCCGACCUCGUCGCCGAGGUGCUCAAGGUCCAAAACGACCCCGUCUCCGCUUCCAAGUUCUUCCACUGGGCAGGUAAGCAAAAGGGUUUCAAGCACACUUAUGCUUCCUACAAUGCCUUGGCCUAUUGUCUGAACCGGUCCAACCGGUUCCGGUCCGCGGACCAAGUCCCAGAGUUGAUGGACUCGCAGGGCAAACCGCCCAGCGAGAAACAGUUUGAGAUUCUCAUCAGAAUGCACUCCGAUGCCAAUAGAGGUCUUAGGGUUUAUUACGUGUAUGAAAAAAUGAAAAAAUUUGGGGUUAAACCCAGGGUUUUCUUGUACAAUAGGAUCAUGGAUGCAUUAGUGAAGUCGGGUUAUUUGGAUUUGGCGUUAUCGGUUUACGAAGACUUUAGGGGUGAUGGGUUGGUCGAGGAGAGUGUUACUUUUAUGAUCUUGAUAAAGGGUCUUUGUAAAAUGGGAAGAAUUGAUGAAAUGUUGCAGCUUUUGGAAAGAAUGAGGGUGAAUUUGUGUAAACCUGACGUGUUUGCAUACACGGCAAUGAUUAAGGUUUUGAUUUCAGAGGGGAACUCGGACGGCUGUUUGAGGGUUUGGGAGGAAAUGAAGAGAGAUAGGGUAGAGGCGGACGUUAUGGCAUAUGCAACUCUGGUUACGGGUCUGUGUAAGGGAGGGAGGGUGGAGAAAGGAUACGAGUUGUUUAGGGAGAUGAAGGUUAAGGGUUUCCUGAUUGAUAGAGCGAUUUAUGGGGUGUUGACUGAGGGGUUCGUGGCAGACAGGAAGGUUGGAGCGGCAUGUGAUUUGUUGAAGGAUUUGAUGGAUUCAGGGUAUAGGGCAGAUUUGGGGAUAUAUAAUUCUCUUAUUGAGGGUUUAUGUAAUGCGAAGCGGGUUGACAAAGCUUAUAAGAUUUUCCGAGUUACAGUUCAAGAGGGUCUUCAGCCAGAUUUUGCUACGGUGAAUCCCAUUUUGGUGUCUUAUGCUGAGACGAGAAGAAUGGAUAACUUUUACGAUAUGCUUGCAGAGAUGGAGAAAUUUGGUUUUCCUGUUAUUGAUGAUCUUUCAAAAUUCUUUUCCUUUAUGGUAGGAAAGGAGGAUGGAGUACCUUUAGCUUUGGAAGUGUUUGGGGAGUUGAAAGUUAAAGGUUAUUAUAGUGUUGGAAUCUACAAUAUCCUUAUGGGGGCCCUCCACAAAUCUGGGAAAGUGAAGAAAGCAUUGUCUCUCUUUAAUGAAAUGAAGGAUGUGGAUUUGCAGCCCGACGCGUCUACUUAUAGCAUUGCAAUUAUGUGUUUUGUUGAAGAUGAGGACAUCCAUGAUGCUUGUGCCUCUCAUAAUAAGAUAAUUGAGAUGUCUUGUGUUCCUUCUAUCUCUGCUUAUUGUUCUCUUGCAAGAGGUCUUUGCAAAGUUGGCGAGAUUGAUACAGUUAUGCUGCUUGUUCGUGACUGCUUGGCCAGUGUGACAAGUGGGCCCAUGGAAUUUAAGUAUUCUCUUACCAUUCUCCAAGCAUGUAAAUCUAAUAAUGCUGAGAAGGUGAUUGAAGUACUAAACGAGAUGAUGCAGCAGGGUUGCCCUCCGGAUGAUGUUAUAUACUCUGCUAUAAUCUCUGGGAUGUGUAAGCAUGGAACAAUAGAGGAGGCAAGGAAGAUAUUUUCUAAUUUGAAAGAGCGCAAACUUUUAACAGAAGCCAAUAUGAUUGUGUAUGAUGAAGUAUUAAUUGAACACAUGAAGAAGAAGACGGCGGAUCUGGUGGUGUCAGGAUUGAAGUUUUUCGGUUUAGAAUCCAAGUUGAAAGCAAAGGGUUGUAAACUGCUGUCGUGAUGAAUUAUGAAGCCAGGUACUGAAUUCACUGGUUACUUGGCUUUUAACAUGUUUAAUAUGUAUAAGAUAGUCCAUAACCCAUUGGGGAGUACGCACCUUCUGUUGCAAUUUGCUUUUAAUGCAUGAAGUUGUAUCGGGUGAACACUGCAAUUAAGAUCUGUAUGUAUUUGUGGUUGUAGUCUUCAGAGUGGCAGAUGGUGCACCUUUCCAGGGUAGUGUUAUGAGGCUUCAUAUCAGCGGGCAUCAUGAGUGAUGUUUGUUCUUUCAGUGUCUCAUAACUUCUCCAACAGAUUGUGCUUUAGCUCGGCAUAUUUUGGAAAAGAAUCAAGAAUAUUUUGUUUAUCAGAGAUUAAGCGCAAAGAGGUGUUAAAAUUAUCUUCAAGUUAUCUUCAAGAAUCAAGAAUAUUUUGUUUAUCAGAGAUUAAGCACAAAUGGAAGGCUCAAACGGGGGAGAUGAUGGGUUGAAAAAGUUGCAGAGAGGCCCGCAUAUGGAUGUGGAUGGGGCAGACUGAUUCUUGAUAUAUGUGGAGAAGAAAACCUAGUUCAGAACUUCCAUUCUGUGUACAGGUCUAAGCCGUUUACAUGGUUAUUUGUCUUCCAGUAACCAAGUCUACCAAUCAAAUUAUUGUUGUUUUUGUAAGAAAGUCUAUGAGGGUUGAUAUUCCAUUGAUAGCAGGGGUAGAUAUUAGGGUUUAGGGGAAAUGUUCAUAAGUUGAUGUUUCCUAAGUUUUUUGCAAUAGGUCAAAGAACACAGAUCUGAAAUGUUCAUAAUUUGUGAGACAAAUUGUGACCGCAAUCGUAAUGCCAAUUUCAUGUAA